rnacentral:rRNA from 1 species
CACCAGCGCCACGAGUGGUUAUCACGAUUAUUGGGCGUAAAGAGCUCGUAGGCGGUUUGUCGCGUCUGCUGUGAAAACUGGAGGCUCAACCUCCAGCCUGCAGUGGGUACGGGCAGACUAGAGUGCGGUAGGGGAGAUUGGAAUUCCUGGUGUAGCGGUGGAAUGCGCAGAUAUCAGGAGGAACACCGAUGGCGAAGGCAGAUCUCUGGGCCGUAACUGACGCUGAGGAGCGAAAGCGUGGGGAGCGAACAGG